AUAAUCUAGUUAAAGCCAUUGGUGGAUGCCUUGGCGUCAUAUGGCGAUGAAGGACGCAGCAAGCUGCGAUAAGCCUCGGGGAGCGGCAAACACGCUUUGAUCCGGGGAUUUCCGAAUGGGGAAACCCAAUACCCGUAAUGGGGUAUUACUCCCAGCUGAAUAUAUAGGCUGGGUAGAGCGACACGCGGUGAAGUGAAACAUCUCAGUAACCGCAGGAAAAGAAAGAGAAUCGAUUCCGUAAGUAGCGGCGAGCGAAAGCGGAUCAGCCCAAACCAGAGUGAUUUAUCACGCUGGGGUUGUAGGACUAUAAUGUGAGAAGCAACGGAUAGACGAAUACCUUGGAAAGGGUAACCAUAGAGGGUGACAGUCCCGUAGUUGAAAUCCCGCGCCGAUCUAAUAGUAUCCUGAGUAGCACCGGACACGUGAAACCCGGUGUGAAUCUGCGCCGACCACGGCGUAAGGCUAAAUACAAGAUGACGACCGACAGUGAACUAGUACCGCGAGGGAAAGGUGAAAAGCACCCCUGUUAGGGGAGUGAAAUAGUAACUGAAACCGAUGGCUAACAAAUCAGUAGGAGCCGCCUUGUGCGGUGACUGCCUGCCUUUUGUAUAAUGAGUCUGCGAGUUUAUGUCCGUAGCAAGCCUAAGCUGCUAAGCAGUGGAGGCGUAGCGAAAGCGAGUCUGAAUAGGGCGAUUGAGUUGCUGGCAUAAGACCCGAAGGGGAGGUGAUCUUACCAUGACCAGGUUGAAGCGUUAGUAAAAUAACGUGGAGGACCGAACCGGUGUAGCUUGAGAACUGCUCGGAUGAGUUGUGGUAAGGAGUGAAAGGCUAAUCAAACCCCCUGAUAGCUGGUUCUUUCCGAAAUAUAUUGAGGUAUAGCGUCGAGCGCUGACCUGUGGAGGUAGAGCACUGAAUAAGCUAGGGCCCCUACCGGGGUACUGAACUUUAUCAAACUCCGAAUGCCACAGGGUGAAGCUCGGCAGUCAGACUUAGGGUGCUAACGUCCUAAGUCGAGAGGGCAACAACCCAGACCAUCAGUUAAGGUCCCUAAAUGUGGCUCAGUGGUAAAGGAUGUGAUUUUACUUAGACAAUGGGGAUGUUGGCUUAGAGGCAGCCAUCAUUUAAACAGUGCGUAACAGCUGACCCAUCGAGUGAAAUUGCGCCGAAAAUGAUCGGGACUUAAGCCACAUACCGAAGCUAUGGAUUUCAGUUCCUCGGAACUGGAGUAGUAGGAAAGCGUUCCAAGUGCAGUGAAGGAGAAGGGGCAACCGACUCUGGAGCGCUUGGAAGUGAGAAUGCAGACAUGAGUAACGAUAAAGAUGGUUAAAGUCCAUCUCGCCGUAAGGAUAAGGUUUCCUGGGGAAGGCUCGUCCUCCCAGGGUUAGUCGGGAGCUAAGAUGAGGCCGUAAGGAGUAAUCGAUGCACAGAAGGUUAAUAUUCCUUCACCGGCUUGCAACUAUUCCCAGAGUGCGGAUCGACGGACCCUACAGACCUGUUUUGACAAGGCACUGCAAAGCUACGGCUGCGUGGGUGUAGGGAAAGAAGGUUCCAAGAAAAGCUCUGGAAUUACUAUGCAGGUCGCUCGUACCGCAAACCGACACAGGUAUCCGGGAUGAGUAUUCUAAGGCGCGCGAGUUAAAUCUCUCUAAGGAACUCGGCAAAUUGGCCCCGUAUCUUCGGUAUAAGGGGUGCCCCUCUAGGGGGGUCGCAGUUAAUAGCGUCAACCGACUGUUUAGCAAAAACACAGCUCUCUGCAAAGUCGCAAGACGACGUAUAGGGAGUGACACGUGACCAAUGCGAAAAGGUGAACGCCUGGGGUGCAAGCUCCGGGUCUAAGCCCUCGUGAAUGUCGGCCGUAACUAUAACGGUCCUAAGGUAGCGAAAUUCCUUGUCGGGU
rnacentral:rRNA from 1 species